rnacentral:rRNA from 1 species
UACGGAGGGUGCAAGCAUCGAUCGGAAUUACUGGGCGUAAAGGGCGCGUAGGCGGUUGUAUAAGUCAGAUGUGAAAUUCCGGGGCUCAACCCCGGAGCUGCAUUUGAAACUAUAUAACUAGAGGGAACUUAGGGAAAACGGAAUUCCACGUGUAGCGGUGAAAUGCGUAGAUAUGUGGAAGAACACCGGUGGUGAAGACGGUUUUCUAGGGUUUACCUGACGCUGAGGCGCGAAAGCUAGGGGAGCAAACAGG